AUUGAACGCUGGCGUCAGGCCUAACACAUGCAAGUCGAGCGGAGCGGCGGACGGGUGAGUACUGCCUAGGAAUCUGCCUGGUAGUGGGGGAUAACGUCCGGAAACGGGCGCUAAUACCGCAUACUAUCAGAUGAGCCUAGGUCGGAUUAGCUAGUUGGUGGGGUAAAGGCCUACCAAGGCGACGAUCCGUAACUGGUCUGAGAGGAUGAUCAGUCAAACUGGAACUGAGAGGAGGGACAGAAUCCUGCGGGAGGCAGCAGUGGGGAAUAUUGGACAAUGGGCGAAAGCCUGAUCAAGCCAUGCCGCGUGUGUGAAGAAGGUCUUCGGAAGGUAAAGCACUUUAAGUUGGGAGGCGUUACCAACAGAAUAAGCACCGGCUAACUACGUGCCAGCAGCCGCGGUAAUUC
rnacentral:rRNA from 1 species